rnacentral:rRNA from 1 species
UACGUAGGGGGCGAGCGUUGUCCGGAUUUACUGGGCGUAAAGGGUGAGUAGGCGGUUGUAUAUGUCAGGUGUAAAAGGCUAUGGCUUAACCAUGGUUAGCACUUGAAACUGUACAACUUGAGUGCAGGAGAGGUAAGUGGAAUUCCUAGUGUAGCGGUGAAAUACGUAGAUAUUAGGAGGAACACCAGUGGCGAAGGCGACUUACUGGACUGUAACUGACGCUGAGUCACGAAAGCGUGGGUAGCAAACAGGAUUAGAUACCCCUGUAGUCCCUGA